rnacentral:rRNA from 1 species
GACGAACGCUGGCGGCGUGCUUAACACAUGCCAGUCGAACGAUGAAGCAGAGAAACGCGCACUUCGGUUCAAAUUUCACUUCGGAUUAGUGGCAGACGGGUGAGUAACGCGUGAGCAACCUACCUCUUACAAAGGGAUAGCCUCGGGAAACCGUGAUUAAUACCAUAUGACACAUUCAUAAGGCAUCUUAAGAAUGUUAAAGCUACGGCGGUAAGAGAUGGGCUCGCGUCCCAUUAGCUAGUUGGUGAGGUAACGGCCCACCAAGGCGACGAUGGGUAACCGGCCUGAGAGGGUGAACGGUCACAGUGGAACUGAGACACGGUCCAAACUCCUACGGGAGGCAGCAGUGGGGAAUAUUGCACAAUGGAGGGAACUCUGAUGCAGCGACGCCGCGUGAGCGAUGAAGGAAUUCGUUUCGUAAAGCUCUGUUCUAUGGGAAGAAAAGGACUGUACCAUAGGAGAAAGCCCCGGCUAAAUACGUG